AGUAAAGGUACCUUUCUUGGCUGAUCCCUUUUGCUUCAUGGCAUGCUCGUUUGGGUUGGGCGUCGGCUAAAAGUGCUCGGAGCGUGGAUUAACUCCAGUCUCCUAUCAGGUAAUUUCCAGCCUUAGAUGGAUCGGAGCUGCGAGGGGCUCGGAGGAAGCCACACACACUGUUUAUGUUACAGUUUUGAUUAUUACUUUUAAAUGUUUUUAUGUGGGUUGUAGUAAAGCAGUUGUAAUUUUCUGGAUUUCAAAUUUGGAAUUUUAUUUAUUGUUCUUAUAAUUGCUAGUAUUAGAACACGGUUUUCCAAAGCAACUACUGUUGUUCAAAACAUCACGUAUCCCCAAUUGUUUCUAUAUUAAGCUUCCGCAACUACCAAGAUUUUUACAAA